rnacentral:lncRNA from 1 species
AUGUUCUGGCUCACGGGUCACUUCUGUGUGGACGGCCUUACAGUCACUCCUCCAUGCCCAGCAGGGAGUUUCAAGCCCAGAGAGGGACUUCACACAGCCAGCAGCAGUUUCUCAUGCUUUCCUGGAACUGGGUUGUGUUUGAAGUGCCCUGCUGGCUAUUUCUGUCCUGCUGGAGCAAAUGACCCAACGCCAUGCCAGCCAGGCACAUACAAUCCUCUCCAAGGACAGGACAAAGCCACUGACUGCAGAGCCUGUCCGGCAGGGAGAGCUUGCACUCAGGCUAGAUUAGUGCAGCCUGACUCGGAGUGCCUACCGGGGUGAGCUUUGCUUGUUUUCUGUCCUUCUCUUUAAGUCUACACAUACAGUUUGCCUCCACUGUUGGGGUGUUGUGCACAGGGACGUGCAGUGGCAUUUCCUGCAGUGUUGAGAGUUGAUGACAUUUUCUGGCAACUCAGUGUGAUGUAGGCUGUAUGGGUAGAGGAAUUGUCUUAAACACAACGGAUUUUGCUGCCUUCUAUUGCCACAGAAAAAGUGGUGAGAAAUAGUGAAACAGACACGAGUGAAGCCCAGCCACAGAUCCAUGGUUAUGAACAACACAACCUGGCUGAAUAAC